GACGAACGCUGGCGGCGUGCCUAAUACAUGCAAGUCGAACGAAGCUGUUUUAACUGGUGCUUGCACCGACUUAAACAACUGAGUGGCGAACGGGUGAGUAACACGUGGGUAACCUGCCCCAAAGCGGGGGAUAACAUUUGGAAACAGAUGCUAAUACCGCAUAACCACAGAAACCACAUGGUUUCUGUGUCAAAGAUGGUUUCGGCUAUCACUUUGGGAUGGACCCGCGGCGUAUUAGCUAGUUGGUAAGGUAAUGGCUUACCAAGGCAAUGAUGCGUAGCCGAACUGAGAGGUAUAUCGGCCACAUUGGGACUGGGACACGGCCCAAACUCCUACGGGAGGAAGCAGUAGGGAAUCUUCCACAAUGGACGAAAGUCUGAUGGAGCAACGCCGCGUGAGUGAAGAAGGUUUUCGGAUCGUAAAACUCUGUUGUCAGAGAAGAACGUGUGCGAGAGUAACUGUUCGUGCAGUGACGGUAUCUGGCCAGAAAGCCACGGCUAACUACGUGCCAGCCGCCGCGGUAA
rnacentral:rRNA from 1 species